rnacentral:lncRNA from 10 species
CUGGCCCAGGCUUUUAAUUCCCUUUUUCUCACAAGGAGGGGUGUCAUCACACUUUGAGCUGCUGUGACAGUUUACUGCUGGAAUAACUCCAUCCCAAAAUUAUUACUGUAAAUUGAAGUCCUAUUUUUCUGCCCCAAGUGUAUUCUUAAUAUUAACAGUUGGUAAUUAGUCUGUCCUUUGGAGAGACUCUGAACAGUUUUGAAGAGCAUCCUGCACGUUUAAUCAGAACACUUCAAGCCAGACAAUGAAAUGUAACAUUCAGUAAACUGUGAUAGUGUUCACUAAUUGCUGAUGCUAUCUCUAUUGUGUUACGUUUAAGUUAUAUUCUUUAAUAUUUUAAGAAUCCUUUUAUUUAUUUAUUUAUUUAUUUAUAUUUUGCUGUAAUUCUUUUUAAAAACUACAAGACAUUUAUAGAUGCAAAAGUAAAGAGUAAGUUAAUAGAACACUGUUCUGUUUUAGAGAUCAAUAUAUAUGAAAUGUUUCUCUUGGAAACUGCUAAACCAACAGGUCAUUUAUUAUUAUAAUAUUCACUUGCCUUUCCUCAUUUGGAUGAUGUAAAAAUGAUCAUUAUUUUGCUACUUUAUGCCAAUCUGGGUAACUGCAUUCCAUAUUUAGAGAGCAUGUUUUGGAUUUAAGCAGCUUAAACUACUAGAAUUAUCAUUACACAAUGGUGUUGCACUUUUAAACAUCUUCAUUUUAUUUUAUUUAAAACAUUUAGAUCUACAAGCAUCUUUAUUUAAUGUUCCCUUACAGUUUCCUUUUCAUGCUGCCAUGAAUCUUAGGAAGAACAUGUAUACUUGCAAAGUUUCAUUAAAUUAUUUUACACUAUUGAAGAAGAUUGUCUUUAUAAUUCAUUACAUUUUUGUUUGGGAGUUACCCUUCCAAAACAAUGCUACACACAACAAAGUAAACUAAAGUACUGUAAAUAUUUUUUUGUUAUGUUCAAAAUUACAUUCUGUUUCAGAAUUUUAAUAAAAUAAAUUUUAUUAAAAAUAAAAUUUAGAGUUGGG